rnacentral:tRNA from 1 species
GGUUCCAUAGCAUAGCAAUUAGCAUGUAUGCUUUACACACAGAAGGUCCUGGGUUCACACCCCAGUGGAGCCA